GCUGACGAGUGGCGGACGGGUGAGUAAUGUCUGGGAAACUGCCUGAUGGAGGGGGAUAACUACUGGAAACGGUGGCUAAUACCGCAUAAYGUCGCAAGACCAAAGAGGGGGACCUUCGGGCCUCUUGCCAUCAGAUGUGCCCAGAUGGGAUUAGCUUGUUGGUGAGGUAACGGCUCACCAAGGCGACGAUCCCUAGCUGGUCUGAGAGGAUGACCAGCCACACUGGAACUGAGACACGGUCCAGACUCCUACGGGAGGCAGCAGUGGGGAAUAUUGCACAAUGGGCGCAAGCCUGAUGCAGCCAUGCCGCGUGUAUGAAGAAGGCCUUCGGGUUGUAAAGUACUUUCAGCGGGGAGGAAGGUGUUGYGGUUAAUAACCGCAGCAAUUGACGUUACCCGCAGAAGAAGCACCGGCUAACUCC
rnacentral:rRNA from 1 species